rnacentral:rRNA from 1 species
AAUUUUGGACAAUGGGCGCAAGCCUGACCCAGCCAUGCCGCGCGAGUGAAGAACGCCCUUUGGGUGUAAUGCCCUUUCGGCUGGAAAGAAAUCGCGCAGGCGAAUACCCUGUGCGGAUGACGGUACCGGCUUAAGUAGCUUCGGCCAUCUAAGUGCCAGUCGCCGCGGUAAUACGUAGGGUGCGAGCGUUAAUCGGAACUACUGGGAGUAAAGCGUUCGCAGGCGGUUGAUUAAGACAGGCGUGAAAUCCCCGGGCUUAACCUGGGAACUGCGAUUGUGACUGGUCAGCUGGAGUACGGCAGAGGGGGGUGGAAUUCCACGUGUAGCAGUGAAAUGCGUAGAGAUGUGGAGGAACACCGAUGGCGAAGGCAGCCCCCUGGGCCGAUACUGACGCUCAUGCACGAAAGCGUGGGUAGCAAACAAG